UAACAUGCAUGUUUUGGGGCUUUGGGCUA
rnacentral:piRNA from 1 species